rnacentral:rRNA from 1 species
AUUGAACGCUGGCGGCAGGCUUAACACAUGCAAGUCGAGCGAGCGGCGGACGGGUGAGUAAUGUCUGGGACACUGCCUGAUGGAGGGGGAUAACUAAUGGAAACUGUAGCUAAUCCCGCAAACACGCUGCUGUUCCCAGAUGGGAUUAGCUAGUAGGUGGGGAAACGGCACACCUAGGCCACGACCCCUACCUGGUCUUAGAGGAUGACCAGCCACACUGGAACUGAGACACGGUCAAGACUCCGACGGGAGGCAGCAGUGGGGAAUAUUGCAAAAUGGGCGCAAGCCUGAUGCAGCCAUGCCGCGUGUAUGAAGAAGGCCGUCGGGUUGUAAAGUACUGUCAGCGAGGAGGCGUUACUAGCAGAAGAAGCACCGGCUAACUCCGUGCCAGCAGCCGCGGUAAUUC